rnacentral:rRNA from 1 species
AGGUGAAAAGGACCCCGGGAGGGGAGUGAAAGAGAACCUGAAACCUUGUGCCUACAAGCACAUAGAGCCCGUCAAAGGGUGAUAUGGUACUUUUUGUAGAACGGUCCGGCGAGCGAUUGUAUGUUGCGAGCUUAAGGUCUUAAGGACUGGAGGCGUAGCGAGAGCGAGUCUGAACAGGGCGUUCAGUAACAUGCAAUGGGCCCGAAACCGGGUGACCUACCCAUGAUCAGGCUGAAGUGAAAGUAAAAUUUCAUGGAGGGCCGAACCGACCUCCGUUGAAAAGGCGGCGGAUGAAUUGUGGGUAGCGGAGAAAUUCCAAUCGAACUCGGAGAUAGCUGGUUCUCCCCGAAAUAGCUUUAGGGCUAGCCUCAUGUUAGAUAUCCGGAGGUAAAGCACUGAAUGGCCUAGCGUCCGAGAGGAUAGCGAAGCCUAUCAAACUAAGAAUGCCGGAAUAUUGAUGCAUGGGAGUCAGACAGUGUGAGAUAAAUCUCAUUGUCAAAAGGGAAACAGCCCAGAUCUACAGCUAAGGUCCCAAAUUGUAUCUAAGUGGAAAACGAUGUGGAAAUACGCAGACAACCAGGAUGUUGGCUCAGAAGCAGCCACUCAUUUAAAGAGUGCGUAAUAGCUCACUGGUCGAGCGUCUCUGCGCGGAAAAUUUAACGGGGCUAAGAUACAAACCGAAGCUUAGGCUGCAUCGUAAGAUGCGGGGUAGGGGAGCGUUGUGUAAGCGGAGAAACAGUAGCGUAAGCGGCUGUGGAGUUUACAGAAGUGAGAAUGCCGGAAUGAGUAGCGCGAAUGUGGUGAGAAUCCACAUGGCCGGAAACCUCAGGUUUUUGGAGGAAGGUUCGUCCGCUCCAAGUUAGGCGGGAGCUAAGGUGAGGCCGAAAGGCGUAGCCGAUGCACAGACGGUAGAGAUUCCGUCACCACCAAAAGAGUUAAGCACAGGGACACAUUUGAAGUCUCAGAGCCGGGUGUUGGUUCCGGUAGAGAUCGAGGGAAAUUAGUACCGAAGUCUGAGAUGGAAGAUGGCGAGAAAAGCUGUGUGUAUUUCUGAGGUGCCCGUACCGCAAACCGACACAGGUAGGUAGGAAGAAGAUUCUAAGGCCAACGGGAGAAGGGUUGUUAAGGAACUCGGCAAGUUGACCCCGUAACUUCGGAAUAAGGGGUGCUCACGAGAGUGAGCCGCAGAGAAUAGGCCCAGGCAACUGUUUACCAAAAACACAGGUUUGUGCUAAAUCGAAAGAUGACGUAUACGAGCUGACGCCUGCCCGGUGCUGGAAGGUUAAAAGGAGAUGUGCAAGCAUUGAAUUGAAGCCCCAGUGAACGGCGGCCGUAACUAUAACGGUCCUAAGGUAGCGAAAUUCCUUGUCAGGUAAGUUCUGACCCGCAUGAAAGGCGUAAUGAUUUGGGCACUGUCUCAACAGCCCGCCCGGCGAAAUUGUAGUACCGGUGAAGAUGCCGGUUACCCGCGACAAGACGGAAAGACCCCAUGGAGCUUUACUGUAGCCUAAUAUUGGGUUUCGAUGUUGCAUGCACAGGAUAGAUGGGACACAGGGAAACAAGUGCUUUGGCAUUUGUGGAGUGGCCGUUGGGAUACCAUCCUUGCGAUAUUGGAAUUCUAACCUGCGCCUUUGAAUCAAGGCGGGGGACAUUGUUAGGUGGGCAGUUUGACUGGGGCGGUCGCCUCCUAAAGAGUAACGGAGGCGUUCAAAGGUUCGCUCAGCUUGAACGGAAAUCAAGCAAAAGAGUGCAAACGCAGAAGCGAGCCUAACUGCGAGACUGACGGGUCGAGCAGUAACGAAAGUUGGAGUUAGUGAUCCGGUGGUAUGUGAGUGGAAAUGCCAUCGCUCAACGGAUAAAAGUUACCCUGGGGAUAACAGGCUGAUCUCCCCCAAGAGUCCACAUCGACGGGGAGGUUUGGCACCUCGAUGUCGGCUCAUCGCAUCCUGGGGCUGAAUUCGGUCCCAAGGGUUUGGCUGUUCGCCAAUUAAAGCGGUACGCGAGCUGGGUUCAGAACGUCGUGAGACAGUUCGGUCCCUAUCUGUCGUGGGCGCAGGAUAUUUGAAAGGCGCUGUCCCUAGUACGAGAGGACCGGGAUGGACGAACCUCUGGUGCACCAGUUGUCACGCCAGUGGCACAGCUGGGCAGCUAUGUUCGGAUCGGAUAAACGCUGAAAGCAUCUAAGCGUGAAGCCGGCCUUAAGAUAAGAUAUCCCACUGAGUCAAUCAGGUAAGACCCCUUGA